GUUUUCAAAGGAAACAAACAUUUUUAACUCACUAGUGGAAGAUCACUAGAGUCAAAAAAUAUAGAGCCUUGGUUUAUCCAAAUGUAUUCAUCAUACAAAUAUGAUAGAAAAAAUGACAGAAAAGUAGCAUGUAUUAAAUGGCUUUUUCCCAUAUAUUUUUGCCAUUUAAUUUACAAAAUAAAAUAAUAUCAUUAUGUAAUGUAUAAUUUUGUAUAACAAUAUCGAUAUUAAUUUUGAGUUCUAUGCAGUUCUAAUUGUGUAUGUGUAUUCAGAAGCCACUUAUAGGAAAUAUGAAAACAAGUUUAAAAAAUAAUUCAUCUUGAUAGUUCUUCAAAGGUUAUGUUCAUUUUCAGUAACAAUAUAAUUAAAAAUAGUGGAUUUUAGCGGUGAUUUUAUUUCUAAAUAGUAGUUGUACUUAUUGAGAAUUAUCUCUUCUUACUUACUCAACAAAACUGUUCUAGUAGUUAGUCUCUCUAUACUGUGUCAUCAGUUCUUUCCUCCACCAGACCAUGCCCAUUAAUAUAAAAUCACACCAUUUGCCUUCACUCCAUUUUUCCCCUCUAGCAACUACCGUUUUCUCCUCUUCCAAUCAAGCAAAAAUUAUGAUCAAGCAAAAAUUAUGGCAUGAUCUCUACUCUGUGUCUCUAGGAUUUCUCUUCACAUUCUCUGAUGGUUGUAACAUCUGUGUUAACAUACUGAAGAACAGUGCUUGCUGAUGAAACAAAAUGAAAUCUCCAAGUGAAUAAAAGCUGUCAUUAGAAGUAUAGAUGCAAGAUUCUUUUCUUCUGCAAAUUAAUAGUCAAGAACCGUGGGAUUCUUGGUCUCACAGAUUCCAAGGAAUGGAAACUUGUGUCAUGCGGUGAGUGUUACAGCUGUACUAGAAGCUGUGGGUCACUGAAGAGAACCGUGAAACCUAGCAACUAGUGUUCAGUUCAUUAGCACGAACCCAGGCACUUAGCCGCGCAGGAACAAUGCUGGGCCUCUAGCCCCAUAGGGAGAGGCAAUGGGUGCCUCCCUGGAUCAGAAGCUCAGCAGAUACCCUGCUGCAUCUGGAGGGGUGGAAGUCAGCGGCGGUCUUUGACGGCGUCAAUCAGCAGUGGUGGACGGGGGAGGAAAGCACAGCUCAAGCCAGAACACACAGGGACCAGAAGAGUGUGCAGCUGCAAGAUUUAACAGAGUGAAAACGGAGCUCCCAUACAAUGGGAGGGGAACCAAAGCGGGUUGCCCACUCCCUGCUUGAAUGCCUGGAGUUUAUAUCCCAAACAUUGUCCCUCCCCCUGUGCUCUCAGAUGAUAUAAGAUUUGACUGUUUCUUUCUGUCCUGCUUUUAGCCUAAUUUACAUUUUAGUGAGCCCUCUUUCCUACCUGAUUGGUCGGGUGUGAGCUGAGUUACAAGCCAGGUGUUUAAAGGUGGGUGCAGUCACCUUCCCCAGCCAGGCUUAGGAAUUCUUAGUAGGUCUAGGAAAUCCAGCUAGUCCCAUCUCUCAUCAGUAUCUCACAGCAGUACAUGGUGACUACAGAUUACUACUUAAGUAAGUAGGACAGAGACUCUGGAAAAUGGAGGCAUUUAGGACAGGAAGAGAAAGUGUAGGUUGCCUUAGGAAUAUUUAAUAAUAGAUUACACUGUUAGUAAAAAUGAAUUUGCAUGCAAUAACUUCAAUGGAUUUUUUUUUUCUUCUCUCUAUCUGCUUGGUAGGCUGAGGCAAGAGAAUCACUUGAGCCAGGAGUUCAAGGCUAUGGUGAGCUGUGAUUGCACCACUGCACUCCAGAAUGGGCACCAGAGCAAGACCCUGUCUCUAUGCUCUAUUUAAUGUUACGAUGCGGAAGAAUAAUGUCUAAGACACAUAAAUAUUUGAAUACUUUUAUUAAAUAGCACACAGUUUUGUUAUGUAUUAUUUCAAGGAGGUAAGAAUGGUAUAGUUACAUUUUUAUCAUGUUUUCUUAUUGUUAGAAACAACAGAGAAAAAAGCAAACAAAAAAUGGAAAUGGCUUCUGUUUCACAAUCCUUUCCUAAAAGACAAUUCAUUUUACUGUGAGAAAAGAUAGGCACUUGCUUUUUAUCUUAAACUGUAAUUGAAACUGUUAGUACAACAAAGUAACAAUGUAUUGGCAAAAAUACGCUUCUACAGUAGUUCCUUUCUUUUGCAAUGAAAGCACUUUGCACCUGUGGAGACAAAAGCAGUAUUUUUCCUUGUCUAAAAUGUCAUAAUGUAUAAUGAUAGUAGUGAUGUUUCUAUGAGUGCACUACUGUACUAUUUCAAUAGUGUGAGACAUAUUGAGUUCUAGUUCAACAAAUCGUGCUCCUUGUCCAAUUUCAUAAAAUACUAGAUACAUUAGCCAUGACAGAAAGGGCUGCUGAGUUACUGAUAAUGUGAGUUAAAACAAGACUUUAGGUAACAUUGUAUGCUUCUAAAAUUUUUAUUCUUUUCUUUCUUUCCAUAGAAUAGUUCUCAUGGAAGGUUAAUCCUUCGUUUAAAAAGUUAUGGUGUGAUAUUCUAGUAUACUCGUGCCUUAGUGAAAAAGUUCAAUCAUAGUUUUUAUUCCAUUGUAUUUUAAUAUUUAUCUCUACAUGUAAAACUUGGGUUUAAAUCUUCAAAUUCAGAAUAAGCUCUGGACAUUAUGCAUACAUCAUACCAACUAAACAUUACUAUAUUUUACCAAGAUUUAUCAAAACAGGAUUCUGACUGAACACUGUUAAUAAGUCAAUUUUGAGUCUUUUAUUAUAAAGUUAUUUUUACUUUAUUAUCAGUGUAGUUGGGAACAAAUCAAAAUAACAAGGCUAUAUUUUUAUCUCCACUUAUUCUUCUUCUGAAAUAAAAUUCCUAGUUUCAAAUAACAAAAUUAUUGGUCUCAUGGCAUUUGUAUUCACAGAAGACACACUUCAAACUCGAUAAAACUACUGGUAGCUGCAUGAUUUAAAAUGUAAUAAGGAAACACUAGGGCUUGGUGCACUGAGCAUGUUUUUGAAAAAGCAAAUGAAAUCACUACAGCCAUUACAAUACGCCCCUCACUGUGACGGAGUAAUCACCUGGCUAAGAAAAGUAAGCCUCACACUUUUGAAGCAACAUACUGAUGAGGUGAUUUGAAUGGAUACCUAUCCAGGUAAUAAAUUAACAUUCAAUAUAAAGCUACAUCACAUUUGCUGACAACAUGUUUAAUACUUUUUUAAUAUGCUUAUUUUUAAGUUAUUUUGGCCAUACCCAAUCCAUUUAUCAUUGUAGAGCCAUAUUCCAUUACAAGAUGUUCGCACUCAUACACACACCUAAUACUGAAAUAGAAAAUAAAAGUAGAAAGGUUAAAGAAAUAAACUGUUAUUAAUUAUGGCAAUGUUAUAGCUCCAUGGUUAAAUCAAACUUAUGCUAGAAAAUUUUGUUGGAAAGGCAAAGUAGAACUAUUAUCCAGGUGCCUAAAAUUUUGAAAGUAGGUGGGGAGACCUGUGCUUUAUAACAUAAUGUAAUUACUGCUUUUUAAAAUUUACAUGCCAGAUAAUUUCUUUUUCUGGAUAUGAGUUUUAUUUGAGAUUUAGGGUCAGUAAACUGUAUUUAAUAUUACCUUAUUAAUUCCUAAUUUAACUAUUCUUGGACACACAUGGACUUUUAUUGCAUAGCAAAACAUUUAUUCUUAAUCUUUUAGACACAAUUUGCCAAAUGCUGCUGCUCUGUCACUUACUAACAUGACUCUGAUAUAUUUUGUUCUCUUUUUCAGAUACAACUGUGCAAUGUAUAAAGCAAGACAUUCAUUAAAACCGCAGAUGUAAAAGUCUUUGAAUCUCAAACAAUUUUCUUUUACAAAUAAUAUAAUUGAUAUCUUGAAAUGAGUUCUGCAUGACAUAGUAGAUUAUUACAAUUAAAUUGUAACCAUAAACAUCACUGAAUCAUCCUAAUUGUCACUUGUUAUUUACAUGCAAAAUUACUAGAUUCUUCCUAUCGGGUUAGAAUUUUAACAUUUUCUAUGAUUUUAAAUAUCACUGAUGUCAAAUGAUAGCUACACAAGAUAUCUUUAAGAGCAUCUAACUUGAGAGAAAAUAUAAUUAAUGUUGAAAUCAGCACUGUCAUACUUUAGAGAAAAUGAUGUAGAUGUUUCUUGUGGAAAGUCUCCAAAGUGAUACUGUACACUAAGCAAACUAAAAAGGACAUGAAGUUCAACACAGCAGACUGCAGUUAAACUGUUUUAUAAAAGCAUUAUGUCUCCCAUGAAGAACAUAAUGCUGACUGCUGUGAUGGCAGUUAAAAACAUAUAUCCUUCAAAUAGUGCUAUCAGCCACCCAAAAAGAACAGAAUACAGAACACAUGUAUCAAAAAACAUGAAAUUUAACGAGUUGCAGUUUUCUUCACGCUAGCAAAUAUUAAGGGUUUUCUUUUGAGUUUAUAAGCACGAUUUCAUGAGGUGAUUGUGGACGUUUGAAUGUGUGUUAAGAACACCAACCAGUAAGUGAGAAGCUGGGGUUGGAAAAACUAACAGUUCAGCAUUUUCAUACACUUGUUACCAAAGCUUUUUUUUUUUUUUUUUUCCUGAGUCACUACUGAUUAUCCUAUAGUUUCAAAUAUAUAAAAUAUUUUAACUCUUUUCUUCCUUGAAAUUUUUUAUCUUAAAUUUUUAGUCAAACUGUUUUCCUAGGCACCAGUGGGAAAAUUAAUAAAUGCUUAAUUGACAAAUAUUAAAUAUUUUUUUAAAAAGUAAUCCUAGUUUACUUAAAUACUUAAUAUGGUAGGGAGUAUCUUUUAAAUGCUUAAAAAUUAAAAAUAGGAUGUUUCUAAUAUGUUCUUUUUUCAGUUUUGAACAUGGCUAAAACUAUAGCAUGAUUCAGAAAAUAUGUCUAUUUCAUAUGGGCUCUUAUAAUGUCCCUAUAAUAUCAAAAUAUUGAAUAGAAAAUUAUAUUGCAUGAACAUUUUUAGAAUCUGGAUACUUUUACAAAUAAACUUUACUCACCAUAUCCAAAUGUUAAGUAAACACGUAAAAUAACAUAUCUUCAUAAUAACUGAAUAAAUGGGUUACCUAGCAUACACUAAUAGGGUUAAGUUUAAUAAGAGUUCUUGCAUGUUACUAGAUGACCUGUAGAAAACUUGUUUUUUUAUUUUUUUAUACAACUAUUGUUAGAUACGUACUUGUUAUUUGAGGAAAAAAAGAAAGAUGAAGGGAAGAAAGGGAAGAAAAUGGCAGAAUGGAAAUAACCCAAAGGCAUUAUUUUAGUUUUAGCAAUAUUUUCAGAAUAAAAUGAAAGUUGGGUUGCUUUUGCAAAAGAUAAUUCCAAUUUCAAAGUAAAUGUUUCUUUUAGAAAUGGUAAAUCCUAUCUGGAAGAAGCUAAUAAAAGUGAUAUAUCCUAAAUCCAGGCAGUGGAAAUGAAUAGUCACAGCCAAGUCCCACUUUUUAUAUUUCUGUGAGGUUAUUUUGUGUGUGUGUGUGUGUGUAUACACA
ensembl:lncRNA